UACGAAGGGGGCUAGCGUUGUUCGGAAUUACUGGGCGUAAAGCGUGCGCAGGCGGCUUCUCAAGUCAGGGGUGAAAGCCCAGAGCUCAACUCUGGAACUGCCUUUGAGACUGAGAGGCUUGAGUACGGGAGAGGUGAGUGGAAUUCCCAGUGUAGAGGUGAAAUGCGCAGAUAUCAGGAAGAACACCCGUGGCUAAGGCGGCUCUCUAGUACGGUACUGACGCUGAGACGCGAAAGCGUGGGGAGCGAACAGG
rnacentral:rRNA from 1 species